rnacentral:snRNA from 1 species
GUGCUUGCUUAGGCAGCACAUACACUAAAAUUGGAAUGAUACAGAGAAGAUUAGCAUGGCCCCUGCGCAAGAAUGACAUGCAAAUUCGUGAAGCGUUCCAUGUUUAA